CAACCAAAACCCCUUCUUUUUCCCCUCGCGGGUCUUAUUUUUUUCGGGUGGGUCCAAAAUUCACCCCGAAUCAGAUCUUUGGUUAAAAAAUCUCUUGGUUCCAGCCAUCCCGGCCGAAUUCGGGCGGGCCCAAAUGUGCGUCAAAAGAUUGGAGGAUUCACGUAUUUUGCAAUUCACAUUAUUUUUCGCAUUUCGUUGGGUUUUCUCAUCGAUGCCAGAACCAAGAGAUCCGCAGCGAAAGGUGGGUCGGAUUUGGAGAUCGGGAACCCCUCAGACGGAAUUCCGGCCCCGAAAUACAGUGGCGGUCUCGCCGCAGCCUCUCCUGCGCAGUAGUUUGCACAACUCGCACCGGGAGCGCGGCGCGUCCACGUCCGUAAAACACCCAACUUCUGAAAUGUGACCUCGGAUCAGGUAGGAAUACCCGCUGAACCUAU
rnacentral:rRNA from 1 species